rnacentral:rRNA from 1 species
UACGGAGGGUGCAAGCGUUGCUCGGAAUUAUUGGGCGUAAAGGGUAGGUAGGUGGUCUCAUUUGUCUGGGGUGAAAGCCUUGAGCUUAACUCAAGAAGUGCCCCAGAAACGGUGAGACUGGAGUCCUGGAGAGGGUCGUGGAAUUCCCGGUGUAGCGGUGAAAUGCGUAGAGAUCGGGAGGAACACCAGAGGCGAAAGCGGCGACCUGGAUAGGCACUGACACUCAACUACGAAAGCGUGGGGAGCAAACAGG